rnacentral:rRNA from 1 species
CCUACGUGCGGCAGCAGUGAGGAAUAUUGGUCAAUGGGCGCGAGCCUGAACCAGCCAAGUAGCGUGAAGGAUGACUGCCCUAUGGGUUGUAAACUUCUUUUAUAAAGGAAUAAAGUGAGGCACGUGUGCCUUUUUGUAUGUACUUUAUGAAUAAGGAUCGGCUAACUCCGUGCCAGCAGCCGCGGUAAUACGGAGGAUCCGGGCGUUAUCCGGAUUUAUUGGGUUUAAAGGGAGCGUAGAUGGGUUGUUAAGUCAGUUGUGAAAGUUUGCGGCUCAACCGUAAAAUUGCAAUUGAUACUGGCAGUCUUGAGUACAGUUGUGGUAGGCGGAAUUCGUGGUGUAGCGGUGAAAUGCUUAGAUAUCACGAAGAACUCCGAUUGCGAAGGCAGCUUACUAAACUGCCACUGACAUUGAUGCUCGAAAGUGUGGGUAUCAAACAGGAUUAGAUACCCCUGUAGUC